CAUCGCGAGGUGGAAUCUGAAAGAAGUCAGCGGCAAACAUCUGGUCUGACGAACAGAAACUUGAUACAAGGCUAAAGUAUGUGGAUAAGGUGGCAAAAAGCACUGAAGUCCUAUAACUAUCCGGAACAUACAUAGUAAAUCAAGCAGACAUAAGAUGGAAAGACAG
rnacentral:ncRNA from 1 species